AUUCCAGCUCCAAUAGCGUAUAUUAAAGUUGUUGCGGUUAAAAAGCUCGUAGUUGGAGUUCUGCCAGGUGCCACCUGUCCGCCCCAGUGGUGAGUACGUGGUGCGCAUUUGGCCCUUUCAAGGGGAGCGUAUUUGCACUUAAUUGUGUGGUGCGGGAUCCUUGACUUUUACUUUGAGGAAAUAAGAGUGUUCCAAGCAGGCUCUCGUCGUGCAUAGCUCAGCAUGGAAUAAUAGCAUUGGAUCUCGAUUCCAAACUGUUGGUUGUAGGAAACGAGAUAAUGAUGAAGAGGGAUAGUUGGGGGCAUUCGUAUUUAACUGUCAGAGGUGAAAUUCUUGGAUUUGUUAAAGACGAACUACUGCGAAAGCAUCUGCCAUGGAUGUUUUCAUUG
rnacentral:rRNA from 1 species